rnacentral:rRNA from 1 species
UACGGAGGGUGCGAGCGUUAAUCGGAAUUACUGGGCGUAAAGCGCAUGCAGGCGGCCUGUUAAGUCAGAUGUGAAAGCCCGGGGCUUAACCUCGGAAUUGCAUUUGAAACUGGCAGGCUAGAGUCUUGUAGAGGGGGGUAGAAUUUCAGGUGUAGCGGUGAAAUGCGUAGAGAUCUGAAGGAAUACCAGUGGCGAAGGCGGCCCCCUGGACAAAGACUGACGCUCAGAUGCGAAAGCGUGGGGAGCAAA